CCGGUUGAUCCUGCCGGAGCCACUGCCAUCGCGUUUCGAUUAAGCCAUGCGAGUCGAGAGGUGCAAGACCUCGGCAUACUGCUCAGUAACACGUGGACAACCUACCCUGAGGAGGGGGAUAACCCCGGAAAACUGGGGAUAAUACCCCAUAGGCCAGGGAUGCUGGAAUGCCUCCUGGUUGAAAGGUCCGCCGCCUCAGGAUGGGUCUGCGGCCGAUUAGGUUGUUGUUGGGGUAACGGCCCAACAAGCCAUUGAUCGGUACGGGGUUGUGGGAGCAAGAGCCCGGAGAUGGAUUCUGAGACACGAAUCCAGGCCCUACGGGGCGCAGCAGGCGCGAAAAACUUUACAAUGCGAGAAAUCGUGAUAAGGGAACCCCCGCGUGCCCGUAAAUUCGGGGCUGUCCAUCAGUGUAAAAAACUGGGUGAAAGAAAGGGCCGGGCAAGACCGGUGCCAGCCGCCGCGGUAAAUACCGGCGGCUCGAGUGGUGGCCGCUAUUAUCGGGCUUAAAGCGUCCGCAGCUGGGUUGUUAAGUCUCCUGGGAAAUCCACCGGCUCAACCGGUGGGCGUUCGGGAGAAACUGGCAACCUAGGGACCGGGAGAGGUGAGAGGUACUCCAGGGGUAGGAGUGAAAUCCUGUAAUCCUUGGGGGACCACCUGUGGCGAAGGCGUCUCACUAGAACGGCUCCGACAGUGAGGGACGAAAGCUGGGGGAGCAAACCGGAUUAGAUACCCGGGUAGUCCCAGCUGUAAACGAUGCGCGUUAGGUGUAUCGGUGACCACGAGUCACCGAGGUGCCGAAGGGAAACCGUGAAACGUGCCGCCUGGGAAGUACGGUCGCAAGGCUGAAACUUAAAGGAAUUGGCGGGA
rnacentral:rRNA from 1 species